UACGUAGGGUGCAAGCGUUGUCCGGAAUUAUUGGGCGUAAAGAGCUCGUAGGCGGUUUGUCGCGUCUGCCGUGAAAGUCCGGGGGCUCAACUCCGGAUCUGCGGUGGGUACGGGCAGACUAGAGUGAUGUAGGGGGAGACUGGAAUUCCUGGUGUAGCGGUGAAAAUGCGCAGAUAUCAGGAGGAACACCGAUGGCGAAGGCAGGUCUCUGGGCAUUAACUGACGCUGAGGAGCGAAAGCAUGGGAGCGAACAGG
rnacentral:rRNA from 1 species